UACGGAGGGGGCUAGCGUUGUUCGGAAUUACUGGGCGUAAAGGGCGCGUAGGCGGCGAUUUAAGUUAGGCGUGAAAGCCCCGGGCUUAACCUGGGAACUGCGCUUGAUACUGGAUUGCUUGAGGACGGAAGAGGGUAGUGGAAUUCCCAGUGUAGAGGUGAAAUUCGUAGAUAUUGGGAAGAACACCAGUGGCGAAGGCGACUACCUGGUCCGUUUCUGACGCUGAGGCGCGAAAGCGUGGGGAGCAAAC
rnacentral:rRNA from 1 species